rnacentral:lncRNA from 1 species
UUGAUACUGCCGUUAUGGAGUGGGUAGUCUGGUUAGGGUGAUUUGAGGCGUUAUUUACUUAACAUUACAUGUUGUUGUAUAAUGCUUGUUAUAUUGAUUGAGAAACUCACCCUUACACUAUUUUUUUCAGGUAACCAGCUAUGAGUGAAUAGAAGUAAAUGCUUGGAGUCUAGAGUAGUCUCCUAAGGGGUCAUGCUCUGAUAGAUGUAACAU